rnacentral:rRNA from 1 species
UACGUAGGGUGCAAGCGUUAUCCGGAAUUAUUGGGCGUAAAGAGCUCGUAGGCGGUUUGUCGCGUCUGCUGUGAAAACUGGAGGCUCAACCUCCAGCCUGCAGUGGGUACGGGCAGACUAGAGUGCGGUAGGGGAGAUUGGAAUUCCUGGUGUAGCGGUGGAAUGCGCAGAUGUCAGGAGGAACACCGAUGGCGAAGGCAGAUCUCUGGGCCGUAACUGACGCUGAGGAGCGAAAGCAUGGGGAGCGAACAGG